GCAUUGUCCUCACACACAGGGCCUCUUUGUUUCCCUGAUACACAGAGAGGAGGCUGUAACAAUGGCCUUGAAUGGCACUUUGCUCUCCUUUCUCCAAUGUUAUACUUGUGUUUUUCAGUUCUGGAAUCAGCUAGACAAUUAUUUCCUGCAGGAGGUAUCAGCUUUACAUCUUUCCUGUCUGCUUCUCUGGCAGUGCUCAGGCCCCGGGUCGGUGGGAACUGAUGGAGAGCUAGGCCUAAAGACAGCGGAGCCCAUCAGAAUGUUACCUUCUCAGGAGGCUGGAAUGCAGUGGCACCUCACCUCUCCCCUGCGAGAUGGCACCUGUCCUGGAGGAAGGAACCAGACCAGGUCCCAUCCUCUAUGAAGGGAGGCUUGGAAGCUUGAUUUACAGCAGAUCACUGCAAGUGAAGUAGUGCGUUUUAAAAAUAUCCCAGUGGCAACUAGGUAAUUUCCAUCUUGGGAUUGCUAGUCUGGAGAGCUGCCAUUUCACACUCCCCUGGGGUCUCUCAGGAAAGGCCCCUUUGGGAUGAUCUCCUCUUGGCAGCUUAUAGGACCGACUUUAUUA
rnacentral:lncRNA from 1 species